rnacentral:rRNA from 1 species
AUUGAACGCUGGCGGCAGGCUUAACACAUGCAAGUCGAGCGGUAACAUUUCUAGCUUGCUAGAAGAUGACGAGCGGCGGACGGGUGAGUAAUGCUUGGGAAUAUGCCUUGAAGUGGGGGACAACAGUUGGAGACGACUGCUAAUACCGCAUAAUGUCUACGGACCAAAGGGGGGGAUCUUCGGACCUCUCGCUUCUAGAUUAGCCCAAGUGAGAUUAGCUGGUUGGUGAGGUAAAGGCUCACCAAGGCGACGAUCUCUAGCUGGUUUGAGAGGAUGAUCAGCCACACUGGGACUGAGACACGGCCCAGACUCCUACGGGAGGCAGCAGUGGGGAAUAUUGCACAAUGGGGGAAACCCUGAUGCAGCCAUGCCGCGUGUGUGAAGAAGGCCUUCGGGUUGUAAAGCACUUUCAGUUGUGAGGAAAGGUUAAAUUUUAAUAGAGCUUAACUGUGACGUUAACAACAGAAGAAGCACCGGCUAACUUCGUGCCAGCAGCCGCGGUAAUACGAGGGGUGCAAGCGUUAAUCGGAAUUACUGGGCGUAAAGCGUUCGUAGGCGGUUAUUUAAGCAAGAUGUGAAAGCCCAGGGCUCAACCUUGGAACUGCAUUUUGAACUGGGUAACUAGAGUACUGUAGAGGGUGGUGGAAUUUCCAGUGUAGCGGUGAAAUGCGUAGAGAUUGGAAGGAACAUCAGUGGCGAAAGCGGCCACCUGGACAGAUACUGACGCUGAGGAACGAAAGCGUGGGGAGCGAACAGGAUUAGAUACCCUGGUAGUCCACGCCGUAAACGAUGUCAACUAGCCGUUUGUGUCCUUGAGACGUGAGUGGCGCAGCUAACGCACUAA